rnacentral:rRNA from 1 species
AUUGAACGCUGGCGGCAGGCCUAACACAUGCAAGUCGAGCGGAUGAAGGGAGCUUGCUCCUGGAUUCAGCGGCGGACGGGUGAGUAAUGCCUAGGAAUCUGCCUGGUAGUGGGGGAUAACGUCCGGAAACGGGCGCUAAUACCGCAUACGUCCUGAGUGAGAAAGUGGGGGAUCUUCGGACCUCACGCUAUCAGAUGAGCCUAGGUCGGAUUAGCUAGUUGGUGGGGUAAAGGCCUACCAAGGCGACGAUCCGUAACUGGUCUGAGAGGAUGAUCAGUCACACUGGAACUGAGACACGGUCCAGACUCCUACGGGAGGCAGCAGUGGGGAAUAUUGGACAAAGGGCGAAAGCCUGAUCCAGCCAUGCCGCGUGUGUGAAGAAGGUCUUCGGAUUGUAAAGCACUUUAAGUUGGGAGGAAGGGCAGUAAGUUAAUACCUUGCUGUUUUGACGUUACCAACAGAAUAAGCACCGGCUAACUUCGUG